UACGAAGGGGGCUAGCGUUGUUCGGAAUUACUGGGCGUAAAGGGCGCGUAGGCUGUGCUGUAAGUCAGGCGUGAAAGGCCCGGGCUCAACCUGGGAAUGGCGCAUGAUACUGCGGCGCUGGAAGGCGGGAGAGGAUGGCGGAAUUCCCAGUGUAGAGGUGAAAUUCGUAGAUAUUUGGGAAGAACACCGGUGGCGAAGGCGGCAUCUGGCCCCGCAAUUGACGCUGAGGC
rnacentral:rRNA from 1 species